ACCACCCCCUACCCCCUACUCCACUUAUUACCACCACCCCCUGCUACCACCAUCUCCUACCACCGUACCACCACCUCCGGCCACCACUAUUACUUCCAACCACAAUAUUUGGCCACCUUAUUCGACCACCACCUCCUACCUCUUGUCUUCGGCCACCGCCUCCUAUCUCCGGACUCCGGCCACCACAUCUGAUUGCCAACCACCACAAACCACUAAAACACUAAAAUGGUAAUUUUCUCUAUCUUUGAUCCUAUUCUCCUAAGUUUUUUUAAUUAUGGUGCUAUAAGUUUUGUCCUUUUUUUGCUUAGCUGAGUUAAUUGGGCCCUUAAUUAUUACUAGAAAAGGUUUAAAAAAACCAAUGAUAGUCUCUCACCGAUGGGCAUGCUCUAAGCGAAGUAACCAAAGUUCUUGGUAAUCUAUUAAUAAACUAUAAAAUAUAAUUCCUUAUAAUAACUAAACUCACUAAUCUUUACCCAGAAAUCUGAAACUUUUUUAAAAGGUAAAUUCAGAAAUAUUUUGUAGUCUUGUACAUUGCUGAUUAUUAUUUCUCCAACCCAAAACAGUAACCAAAAUUGAUUGCAUCUAAACAGUAUUGUUAUCAGAAUCACAUAUCCUUCUAAACACCAAGGUGAAACUCAUAUCCUAACAAUCUUUAAGAGAGUAUCUAUCACCUCUUCUCAAAAUAUAUAAGCUGUGGAUUGGUUUUAUUACAGAUUACAACAAAGAAUCUUAAUAAAGUAAAAAGAGCAAACCGCAAGACUAUUAAAUUAACCUAUAAUGGGAAUACACCCAACGAAACCUGUUUUGUUCAUUUGACAGUAUUCGAAUUCCUUCAGAGCGUACGAAGAAUCACUUCUCUUUCCUUUCCUCUUUUAUAGCUUCAUAUGAAAGUAACACUUCUUUGAAUUUUGCUUCAGCUACAACUGCAAACAAUCGAUGUGAAACCGUCAAAUCCGGC
rnacentral:lncRNA from 1 species